UAGGCCUACGGGGCGCAGCAGUGAGGAAUAUUGGUCAAUGGGCGGGAGCCUGAACCAGCCAAGUCGCGUGAGGGACGACGGUCCUAUGGAUUGUAAACCUCUUUUGUCGGGGAACAAAGGCGCCCACGGGUGGGCGGAUGAGUGUACCCGAAGAAAAAGCAUCGGCUAACUCCGUGCCAGCAGCCGCGGUAAUACGGAGGAUGCGAGCGUUAUCCGGAUUUAUUGGGUUUAAAGGGUGCGUAGGCGGGCUGUUAAGUCAGCGGGAAAAGCCCGGGGCUCAACCCCGGCGAGCCGUUGAAAAUGGC
rnacentral:rRNA from 1 species